rnacentral:rRNA from 1 species
UAAGACAGAGGGGGCAAGCGUUGCUCGGAAUCACUGGGCGUAAAGGGCGCGUAGGCGGGAUGGCAAGUCGGUCGUGAAAUCCCUCGGCUCAACCGAGGAACGUCGGCCGAUACUGCCGUUCUUGAGGGAUGCAGAGGAGACUGGAAUUCCCGGUGUAGCGGUGAAAUGUGUAGAGAUCGGGAGGAACA